rnacentral:rRNA from 1 species
GACGAACGCUGGCGGCGUGCCUAACACAUGCAAGUCGAGCGGAGAUACAUUGAAGAGCAAUCAGAUAUGUAUCUUAGCGGCGGACGGGUGAGUAACGCGUGGGCAACCUGCCUCAUACUGGGGGAUAACACAGGGAAACUUGUGCUAAUACCGCAUAAUAUCAUUAUAGGGCAUCCUGUGAUGAUCAAAGGAGCAAUCCGGUGUGAGAUGGGCCCGCGUCCAAUUAGCUAGUUGGUGGGGUAACGGCCCACCAAGGCGACGAUUGGUAGCCGAACUGAGAGGUUGAUCGGCCACAUUGGGACUGAGACACGGCCCAGACUCCUACGGGAGGCAGCAGUGGGGAAUAUUGCGCAAUGGGGGAAACCCUGACGCAGCAACGCCGCGUGAAGGAUGAAGGUCUUCGGAUUGUAAACUUCUUUUGCAGGGGAAUAAAGGACGGUACGUGUACUGUUUUGUAUGUACCUUGCGAAUAAGGAUCGGCUAACUCCGUG